UCCACUCGUUGACUUGGCUAUAAAAAAGGCGGCCGUAAAAAACGAAGGGGGGAUAGUAUGGGUAGGUAUAAACCCACUGUUAAUUGAGGUGGAGUUGAAUUACGUGAAAGAUGAACAACAAAGAGACAAGUGAAGUGGAGGAGCUCCUGCGAAAAGAAAACGAUUUUGAGGUACGUUGUGUUAUAAAAAAAAAGUCUGACGAGUAAUGCAAUGCUACAUUUGCAUACGGGAUCCUCGGAAGACAAGAAAUGGAGGAUCACCGAGUUUCCGAACAUACGUAAACGGUCCGUUAACGUUAAAUUUAAGCAAAUACAAAUGUAUUUUGUUUUACUUGUCAGAGUCUAUCAGUGCACCUAUCCAGCUGAGUGGUGCUACUUUUCCUCAGAUAGGAAGUCCAAUAUGGGUCGCCAUUACACGAUCGGCUCCUCUUGCUCCUCUGGUCUAAGUUAAGGACCAAGAAAGGGUAUUAUAUAAUUUGUUGGAUACAAUUAGGAAUUUAGACUUGACAGCUUCUCUUCUGGAAAACAGCUUAGAGAGAGGACAGUGAAAUAGGACUGAAACGUAAUAGGACUACGUUUUAGGACAAGUCGAAAUAGGACUGCUUUUAGCAACUGAAUAUUGCUAGUCCUAUUUCUCCAUACGAACAGUCUUAUUUCUACCUUCCUGUAGUUCUAUUUCUACCAGUCCUAUUUCACCAGGUACGAGAUCUGGCAUCCUUAUCAGUUUGCUA